ACAUAAAGGCGAAGAAACGGACAUAACUUUAUCUAACUUGUUAGCUGCUCCUGGACCCCGUCAUAUUAAACACCCUCUGUCAGCAUCAGCCUUCAGUGAGAUUGUGGACCUACAGCAGAGUGAUCAAAUUGUACCUAACAUAACGCAGCAGGUGAUUAAUGCCAUAAGUAUUGCCAGAGAUCUACGGACUUCAUAAACCUCAGUGAUGGAUAACGACAAGCCAGAAGAGUGUAAAGUCUGUUUUGACAACUUUGAUGAAGCUCUUCGA